GAUGAACGCUGGCGGCGUGCCUAAUACAUGCAAGUCGAGCGAACGGACGAGAAGCUUGCUUCUCUGCUGUUAGCGGCGGACGGGUGAGUAACACGUGGAUAACCUACCUCUAAGACUGGGAUAACUUCGGGAAACCGGAGCUAAUACCGGAUCAUAUUUUGAACCGCAUGGUUCAAAAGUAAAAGACGGUCUUGCUGUCACUUAUAGAUGGAUCCGCGCUGCAUUAGCUAGUUGGUAAGGUAACGGCUUACCAAGGCAACGAUGCAUAGCCGACCUGAGAGGGUGAUCGGCCACACUGGAACUGAGACACGGUCCAGACUCCUACGGGAGGCAGCAGUAGGGAAUCUUCCGCAAUGGGCGAAAGCCUGACGGAGCAACGCCGCGUGAGUGAUGAAGGUCUUCGGAUCGUAAAACUCUGUUAUUAGGGAAGAACAUAUGUGUAAGUAACUGUGCACAUCUUGACGGUACCUAAUCAGAAAGCCACGGCUAACUACGUG
rnacentral:rRNA from 1 species